rnacentral:misc_RNA from 1 species
GUUUUUUUCCAACGAAAAAAUUCCAUUUCCCUGGGAAAAUUCAAUUUUUUUCUAUUAGAAGAGAAAAAUGUUCUUUUUAGUUAUAUGAAGAGAGGGCAGGUACACUGAAGAGAAAUAUAUACUCCUCAACAUAAAAUUAAAUAGAUAAAGAUAUGUAAUACAAUAACAAAAUGCCUGAGGAGAAAAACAUAUUGUACACCUGUUAAGUUGAGCAAGCAUUGCUACAACUUCCAAAUACGAGGAAAAUGUCCAUGAUAAACUGAUACAAAAUGAAACUCAUAGAAAAUAUUAUAUUAGGAGCACGUUAUCACAGAUAUUAAACAACCUGGUAUGGAGGAAUGCAUUUGAAAUUAAAAGAAUGCAACAAUCAUAUUUUAGAAAAUACAAUAAAGUAAUGUGGGGUAAUGCAUUGUAAUGAAUGUCUAUUAAUCUUUUAUUUAAAGGGAAAACAUCUAAAUGAAUUAAUCUAAAGAAAAUAAGCAUCAGCCUAGGACACCUCGUUAGAUAGAAGCCUGAUUUGUCGAUUUCUUAACUGCUGUUUAUAGUCUCCAUUACAGCAUUUCUUGUCCAAUUUUCUACCAUGAAAACAUAGAAGCAUUUCAUCAAACACAUUCCAGGCAUGAAAUUGAAGAAAUUGAUCAAAUAUGUGAAGCAAUGAAUCUGAAAAUAUUUGCAAUAUUGAAGGAAUUUUGUUUGUAACAUAAAGAGUUG